GAAUCGAUGUCCGAGAGGUUAAAGGAGGUGGAUUGUAAAUCCAUUGUAAUAAUACUUCGUUGGUUCAAAUCCAACUCGAUUCA
rnacentral:tRNA from 1 species